rnacentral:rRNA from 1 species
AUACGGAGGGUGCAAGCGUUGUGCGGAAUUACUGGGCGUAAAGCGUACGUAGGCGGUUGGUUAAGUUAGAUGUGAAAGCCCCGGGCUUAACCUGGGAACUGCAUUUAAAACUGGCGAACUAGAGUUGAGUAGAGGGGAGUGGAAUUUCAGGUGUAGCGGUGAAAUGCGUAGAGAUCUGAAGGAACACCAGUGGCGAAGGCGACUCCCUGGACUCGAACUGACGCUGAGGUACGAAAGCGUGGGUAGCAAACGGGAUUAGAAACCCCAGUAGUCC